GUCCUCUCUGACCCCCCCCCCAUCCCCAGGUGGGGGUCCCGGUGGGCCGCCUGGAGCAGCGGGUGGGGGCUCUGAGGGGUCGCACCCCAUACACCGUCCGGGUCCGCGUCCGCCCCGACGGGCUGAGCUACGGCGGCUAUUGGAGCCCGUGGUCCGAACCCAUCACUGCCGUCACCGCCCCCGAUGUGGACCCGGUGACGGUGGGGCUCUCCUCUCUGCUGGCGCUGCUGCUGCUGGGGCUGGCAAUGCUCGCGCUGCUCGGACAGCGGCGGAAGCUGCAGGAGAAGCUGUGGCCGCCCGUGCCCGGCCCUGAGAGGGAAUUCGAGGGGCUCUUCAGCGCCUAUGGGGGCAAUUUUCAGCUCUGGCUGUACCAAGGGGUGGUGGAGCCCUGGAGCCCCCCCGGAGGCACCCCGGAAGCCGAGGAACAGCCCAGUGCCGUGGAAGAGGUGGGGCCCCCCCCCGGGCAAAGAGCCCCCCCCCGGGGACCCCCCCGUCUGCCCCCCCUUCGGCCCCCCCCAGCGGCCCCUCGCCCGCCUCCAGCUUUGAGUACACGCUGUUUGACCCCGGCUCGGCCCUGCUCUGCCCCAGGGGGCACCCCCAAAUCGCCCCCCCCCCACGACCCCCCCCGGCGGCCCCUACGCCAACCUGGCCCCUCCCCACAAAGGGUCCCCCCCCCCCGAGGAGGGGACCCCCCAAAGAAACCCCCCACGACAGGAGACCCCCACGGGAGCUUCCGUGCAAUGGGAACCCCCCCGGGACCCUCCUGGCGUUGGGGCCCCCCCCAAUGCCCCCCCCCUACGUGCUGUGCUCUUAAUGGAUGGGGGGGGGGGGAGAGGGGGGCGGAGGGGGGGGUUGGGGACACCCCCCGGGAUGGGGUGACACCGAAUGGAGGGGACACGGCGACGUGAGGUCACGUGGGCUCACCACGACACGGGGACGUGUCACACCACGGCACGAGGAUGGAGGGGACGUGUCAUAGUGACGUCACGUGGGCUCACCAUGACACGAGGAUGGAGGGGACGCGUCAUAGUGAUGUCAUGUGGGCUCACCAUGACACGAGGAUGGAGGUGACACACUGUAGUGAUGUCACAUGGACUCAUAGUGACAUCACAUGGACUUACCAUGACACGAGGACGUGUCACACUGUGACACAUUGAUGGAGGGGGACACAUCAUAGUGAUGUCACAUGGACUCACCAUGACACAAGGAUGGAGAGGACACGUCAUAGUGACGUCACGUGGGCUCACCAUGACAUGAGUACAGAUGGGACACAUCAUAGUGAUGUCAUGUGGGCUCACCAUGAGACGAGGAUGGAGGGGACACGUCAUAGUGACGUCACGUGGGCUCACCACGACACGGGGACGGAGGUGACACACUAGUGAUGUCACAUGGACUCAUAGUGACAUCACGUGGACUCACCAUGACACAAGGAUGGAGGGGACGCGUCAUAGUGACGUCACAUGGGCUCACCAUGACAUGAGGAUGGAGGGGACACGUCACAGUGAUGUCACGUGGACUCACCAUGACAUGAGGACGGAGGUGACACACUGUAGUGAUGUCACGUGGACUCAUAGUGACAUCACGUGGACUCACCAUGACACGAGGACGUGUCACACUGUGACACAUGGAUGGAGGAGACUCACCACGACACGAGGAUGGAGGUGACGCGUCAUAGUGAUGUCACGUGGACUCACCACGACACGAGGGUAUGUCACACUGUGACACAUUGAUGGAGGGGACACGUCGUAGUGACGUCACAUGGACUCACCAUGACACGAGGAUGGAGAUGACACACUGUAGUGAUGUCACAUGGACUCAUAGUGACAUCACAUGGACUCACCACGACACGAGUAUGGAGGUAACGCGUCAUAGUGACGUCACGUGGACUCACCACGACACGAGGAUGGAGGUGACGCGUCAUAGUGACGUCACGUGGACUCACCACGACACGGGGACGGAGGGGACACGUCGCAGUGACGUCACGUGGGGACACAGCGGGGUUGUGGGGGUGGUCCCGUCCCACCCCCCCCCCCCCCCCCAAUGUCCAUACGCCGAAUUGGGGCCACUCGUGUUGGUUUGCCACUGUUUUAUACAAUAAAGCACUCGUGAGCGCACGCAGCGCCUCGGGGGGGGGUGGGGUGGGGUGGGGGCGGUGAUAAGGCCUUAUCAGAGCCCCCAGGGCCGGGGGGGGGCACAGCACGCGCUCAGCCCCACGCUGUGGGUGUCGGGGGGGGGGAGGGGGGUGGCUGUGAGGGCACUGAUAACGUGGGCUGUCCGCUCGUGUCGCCUCCUGGCACCUCCGGACACCUCCGGACACCUCCGGACACCAGCAGUGCGGCACGGGGGCUCGUGGCACCUCGGUUCCGUGUCGUAUAGGCACUGUGACAUCUGGGUCCCAUGUCACCUUGGUUCCGUGUCGUAUAGGCACUGUGACGUGGGUUCCGUGUCACCUGGGUUCCAUGUCACCGGGGUUCUGUGUCACCUGGGUUCUGUGUCACCUCGGUUCCGUGUCGUAUAGGCACUGUGACGUGGGUCCCGUGUCACCUGGGUUCUGUGUCACCUGGGUUCCGUGUCGUAUAGGCACUGUGUCACCUGGGUUCCGUGUCACCUGGGUUCUGUGUCACGGUGUUCCAUGUCACCUGGGUCCCAUGUCACCUUGGUUCCGUGUCGUAUAGGCACUGUGACGUGGGUUCCGUGUCACCUGGGUUCCAUGUCACCUGGGUUCUGUGUCACCUGGGUUCCGUGCCAUAUAGGCACUGUGACAUCUGGGUUCCGUGUCACCUGGGUUCUGUGUCACCUGGGUUCCAUGUCGUAUAGGCACUGUGUCACCUGGGUUCCAUGUCACCUGGGUUCUGUGUCACCUGGGUUCUGUGUCACCUGGGUUCUGUGUCACCUGGGUUCCGUGCCAUAUAGGCACUGUGACAUCUGGGUUCCGUGUCACCUGGGUUCUGUGUCACCUCGGUUCUGUGUCGUAUAGGCACUGUAUCACCUGGGUUCCAUGUCACCUGGGUUCUGUGUCGCCUGGGUUCUGUGUCGCCUGGGUUCCAUGUCACCUGGGUUCCGUGUCACCUUGGUUCCGUGUCGUAUAGGCACUGUGACGUGGGUUCCGUGUCACCUGGGUUCCGUGUCACCUGGGUUCUGUGUUGUAUAGGCACUGUGUCACCUGGGUUCUGUGUCACCUGGGUUCUGUGUCAUAUAGGCACCGUGUCACCUGGGUUCCGUGUCACCUGGGUUCUGUGUCAUCUGGGUUCCGUGUCACCUGGGUUCCGUGUCGUAUAGGCACUGUGUCACCUGGGUUCCGUGUCAUUGUGCCACCUGGGUUCCAUGUCAUAUAGGCACUGUGUCACCUGGGCACUGUGUCACCUGGGUUCUGUGUCACCUGGGUUCUGUGUCAUAUAGGCACUGUGUCACCUGGGUUCCGUGUCACCUGGGUUCUGUGUCACCGGGGUUCCGUGUCGUAUAGGCACUGUGACGUGGGUUCCGUGUCACCUGGGUUCCAUGUCACCGGGGUUCUGUGUCACCUGGGUUCCAUGUCACCUGGGUUCUGUGUCACCUGGGUUCUGUGUCAUAUAGGCACUGUGUCACCUGGGUUCUGUGACAUCUGGGUUCCGUGUCACCUGGGUUCCAUGUCAUAUAGGCACUGUGCCAUCUGGGUUCCAUGUCACCUGUGUUCCGUGUCACCUGUGUUCCGUGUCACAGUGUCACCCAGGCUCCGUGUCGUGCCGCACAGACUCUGUCACCUGCAUUCCAUGUCACCCGGGUUCUGUGUCACACAGGCAUUGCGUCCCCUGGGUUCCAUAGCACUCGGGUUCCGUGUCACCUGGGUUCCAUGUCGCGUGGGUUCCAUGACACAUAGGCAUUGUGUCACCCGGUCCCAUGUCACCAGGGCUCCAUGUCACCUGGGUUCUGUGUCACCUGGGUUCCGUGCCAUUUGGGUCUGUGUCACUCAGGUUCUGUGUCACCUUGGUUCCCUGUCACCUGGGUCCCACGCCACAGUGUCACCCAGGCUCCGUGUCACUGUGCCAUGCAGACCCCAUGUCACCUCGGUUCCGUGUCACCUGGACUCCACAUCACCCGGGCUCCAUGUCACUGUGUCACCUGGGCUCCACAUCACCUCUGCUCCAUGUCACCGUGUCACCUGGGCUCCACAUCACCUGGGCUCCAUGUCACUGUGUCACCUGGGCUCCAUGUCACCGGGCAGCUCUAUGUGACUGUGUCACCCGGGCUGCACAUCACCUGGUCUCCAUGUCACUGUGUCACCUGGGCUCCACAUCACUGGGGCUCCAUGUCACCGUGUCACCUGGGCUUCAUGUCACCAUGUCACCUGGGCUCCACGUCACCUGGGCUCCAUGUCACCGUGUCACCGGGCAGUUCCAUGUCACCGUGUCACCUGGGCUCCACAUCACCUGGGCUCCAUGUCACCGUGUCACCUGGGCUCCAUGUCACCUGGCAGCUCCAUGUCACUGUGUCACAUGGGCUCCACAUCACCUGGGCUUCAUGUCACAUGGGCAGCUCUAUGUCACCGUGUCACCCAGGCCCCACAUCACCUGGGCUCCAUGUCACUGUGUCACCUGGGCUCCACAUCACCUGGGCUCCGUGUCACUGUCUCAUGUGGGCUCCAUGUCACCGGGCAGCUCCAUAUCACCGUGUCACCUGGGCUCCACAUCACCUGGGCUCCAUGUCACCUGGCAGCUCCAUGUCACCGUGUCACCUGGGCUCCACGUCACCUGGGCUCUAUGACACUGUGUCACCAUGUCACCGUGUCACCUGGGCUCCACAUCACCUGGGCUCCAUGUCACUGUGUCACCUGGGUUCCGUGUCACUGAGUCAUGUGGGCUCCAUGUCACCUGGGCUCCAUGUCACCGUGUCACCGGGCAGUUCCAUGUCACCGUGUCACCUGGGCUCCACAUCACCUGGGCUCCAUGUCACCGUGUCACCUGGGCUCCAUGUCACCUGGCAGCUCCAUGUCACCGUGUCACCUGGGCUCCACAUCACCUGGGCUCCAUGUCAUUGUGUCAUGUGGGCUCCACAUCACCUGGGCUUCAUGUCACAUGGGCAGCUCUACGUCACCGUGUCACCCAGGCCCCACAUCACCUGGGCUCCAUGUCACUGUGUCACCUGGGCUCCACAUCACCUGGGCUCCGUGUCACUGUCUCAUGUGGGCUCCAUGUCACCGGGCAGCUCCAUGUCACCGUGUCACCUGGGCUCCAUGUCACCUGGGCUCCAUGACACUGUGUCACCUGGGUUCCAUGUCACUGAGUCAUGUGGGCUCCCUGUCACCUGGGCUCCAUGUCACCGUGUCACCGGGCAGUUCCAUGUCACCAUGUCACAUGGGCUCCACAUCACCUGGGCUCCGUGUCACUGUGUCACAUGGGCUCCGUGUCACUGUCUCAUGUGGGCUCCAUGUCACCGGGCAGCUCCAUGUCACCGUGUCACCUGGGCUCCACAUCACCUGGGCUCCAUGGCACUGUGUCAUGUGAGCUCCACGUCACUGGGGCUCCAUGUCACCGUGUCACCUGGGCUUCAUGUCACCAUGUCACCUGGGCUCCACGUCACCUGUGCUCCAUGUCACCGUGUCACCGGGCAGCUCCACGUCCCCGUGUCACCUGGGCUCCACAUCACCUGGGCUCCACACCAGCCAGGCUCAGUGACACCACAACACCCGAGGGCUGCACAUCACCACCCGACUCACCCUCAGCCUUCAUCCCCACUGCCAUCUCCGUCCUCAUCCUCGUCCCCAUCGCCGUCCCCAGGCCCGGGGGUGACGUUCAGCCCCCCGUGGGGCUCGAAGCGCAGCCUCCAUCCCCGCGGCACCGAUCCGGGCAGGACGAGGCGGACGUUCACCCGCAGUGGGACCCCGGGGAGGGGUCUCAGACGGCACUCAGCCGGGAAGUAACGGCGCAGGACGGGCAGCACACGGGGCCCGGGGGGGGGCACACGGAGGGCAGCCAGGAGCCGGGCCGGGGGUCGGGG
rnacentral:lncRNA from 1 species